GUGAGGAAUUUUCCGCAAUGGGCGAAAGCCUGACGGAGCAAUGCCGCGUGAAGGAUGAAGGCCUAUGGGUUGUAAACUUCUUUUCUCAGAAAAGAAUUAUGACGGUAUCUGAGGAAUAAGCAUCGGCUAACUCUGUGCCAGCAGCCGCGGUAAGACAGAGGAUGCAAGCGUUAUCCGGAAAGAUUGGGCGUAAAGCGUCUGUAGGUUGUUUAAAAAGUAUUCUGUCAAAGAUUAGGGCUUAACCCUAGAUAGGCAGAAUAAACUUUUAAGCUAGAGUUUGGUAGAGGCAGAGGGAAUUCCCGGUGGAGCGGUGAAAUGCGUAGAUAUCGGGAGGAACACCAAAGGCGAAGGCACUCUGUUGGGCCAAUACUAACACUGAGAGACGAAAGCGAGGGGAGCAAAUGGGAUUAGAUACCCUAGUAGUCC
rnacentral:rRNA from 1 species